rnacentral:tRNA from 1 species
GAGGUAGCGUGCUGCUGCGCGACCUGACUGGCGAGAUCCAAAACAGACAGCUACGCAUGUAGAACUGUACGUGGACGGCUUGCGGACGGGGGUUCAAUUCCCCCCGCCUCCACCA